CAUUGUUUCACAGCCAUAGGCCGUUUCAUAAACCUAAUUUCACUUCCCUUCUCUGUCUCUCUCUCUCACCCUCACACUUUCUCCGCCGGCGGGAAAACCAUGUCGCACUUCGGAAGGUCAGGUCCGCCGGAUAUCAGCGACACCUACUCUCUUCUCGUCCUCAACAUCACAUUCCGUACGACUGCAGAUGAUCUGUAUCCACUAUUCGCAAAGUACGGAAAGGUCGUGGAUGUCUUUAUCCCCCGAGAUCGAAGGACUGGUGAUUCGCGUGGUUUUGCAUUUGUUCGCUAUAAGUACAAAGAUGAAGCUCACAAAGCAGUUGAAAGGCUUGAUGGAAGAGUUGUUGAUGGCAGAGAAAUUACUGUUCAGUUUGCAAAAUAUGGUCCAAAUGCUGAAAAGAUUUCCAAAGGAAGAGUUGUGGAACCGCCUCCAAAGUCACGAAGGUCAAGAAGCCGUAGUCCUCGAAGGAGCGGUAGUCCGUAUAGACGCCGUAGUCCUAGGAGAAGCCGCAGUCCCCGUAGGAGGUCCCGAGAUGAUUACAGAGAAAGAGACUACCGGAAGAGGAGCAGAAGCAGAAGUAGAAGCUAUGAAAGGCGUGAAAGGCAUCAGGAGAAGGAUAGAGAUCAUCGUCGCCGCAGUAGGUCUCGUAGUGCCAGCCCAGAUGACAAACGCAGAGUCAGAGGUCGUUAUGAUGAUGAUAGCCGCAGUCGCAGUCGCUCUUUGAGUGCAUCUCCUGCUCGCCGCAGCCUCAGCCCUAGAAGUGCUUCCCCAUUAAAAGCCUCUCCUGAAAGGCGAAGCAAAGAGAGGUCUCUGUCUCCUGCUCGCCGCAGCCGUAGCCCAAGAAGUCCCUCCCUGCAAAAGGCCUCUCCUUCUAAGGAGUUGUCUCCUGAGAGGAAGAGUAAUGACAGGUCCCCAUCUCCUGAUAGCCGUUCUCCUCGGGACAAAGCUCGUAGUCAAUCUCCUGAUGUUGAGGAAUGAUCGGAUACUUGUGAAGGAGACAUGGUGUAUGAAAAACAUGUUCGCUUGUAUUAAUGAUGUUUCAUCUUCAAGCAUAUGGGAACUUCUAUCCUCUGUAGUAUUGCUUGCUUUUCCUCUGGUUCGAGAAAAGAAUUGAGUUGGGAAGAUGGCACAACCAUGUUGAGAUUGUAGCUGUUGAUGCUGUUUUAAGAAUCCGUAGAUAUGAUGUCGAUGAUGGAUGAUGCUGUUUAUGAAACCGUAGAUGAUUGAUGUCAUGAUCGAUGAUAGAUGUCAUGCUCGAUGAUAGAUGCCGAUCGCAGCAAUCUGCUGAAUCUCCCCUUAAGCAUAAAAUAGUUAGCAUCUUUGUCUCUAACUUGUUUUCAAAACUAAGAAGGGUUUGGUGUCGUUAGUUGAUUGCCCUCAGUUUUGAAUCCAAUUUUGGGAGGAUCGUAAUCAAUUUCCUCGUUUUUUA